rnacentral:tRNA from 1 species
AAAGGUAUAGCUCAGUGGUAGAGCGCAUGCUUAGCAUGCAUGAGGUGAUGGGGUCGAUCCCCAGUACCUCUG